AUACGAAGGGUGCAAGCGUUAAUCGGAAUUACUGGGCGUAAAGCGCGCGUAGGUGGUUCAGCAAGUUGGAUGUGAAAGCCCCGGGCUCAACCUGGGAACUGCAUCCAAAACUACUGAGCUAGAGUACGGUAGAGGGUGGUGGAAUUUCCUGUGUAGCGGUGAAAUGCGUAGAUAUAGGAAGGAACACCAGUGGCGAAGGCGACCACCUGGACUGAUACUGACACUGAGGGGCGAAAGCGUGGGGAGCAAACAGGAUAGAUACCCUGGUAGUCCACGCCGUAAACGAUGUCAACUAGUUGUUGGGUUCCUUGAGAACUUAGCAACGAAGCUAACGCGAUAAGUUGACCGCCUGGGGAGUACGGCCGCAAGGUUAAAACUCAAAUGAAUUGACGGGG
rnacentral:rRNA from 1 species